rnacentral:rRNA from 1 species
CGGCAACAGCUCAAAUUUGAAAUCUGGCUUCGGCCCGAGUUGUAAUUUGCAGAGGAAGCUUUGGGCGCGGCACCGACCGAGUCCCCUGGAACGGGGCGCCAUAGAGGGUGAGAGCCCCGUAUGGUCGGACGCCUAGCCUGUGUAAAGCUCCUUCGAC